AGUGAACGCUGGCGGUAGGCCUAACACAUGCAAGUCGAACGGCAGCACAGUAAGAGCUUGCUCUUACGGGUGGCGAGUGGCGGACGGGUGAGGAAUACAUCGGAUUCUACUUUUUCGUGGGGGAUAACGUAGGGAAACUUACGCUAAUACCGCAUACGACCUACGGGUGAAAGCAGUGGAUCUUCGGACCUUGCGCGACUGAAUGAGCCGAUGUCGGAUUAGCUAGUUGGCGGGGUAAAGGCCCACCAAGGCGACGAUCCGUAGCUGGUCUGAGAGGAUGAUCAGCCACACUGGAACUGAGACACGGUCCAGACUCCUACGGGAGGCAGCAGUGGGGAAUAUUGGACAAUGGGCGCAAGCCUGAUCCAGCCAUACCGCGUGGGUGAAGAAGGCCUUCGGGUUGUAAAGCCCUUUUGUUGGGAAAGAAAAGCAGCAGGUUAAUACCCCGCUGUUCUGACGGUACCCAAAGAAUAAGCACCGGCUAACUUCGUG
rnacentral:rRNA from 1 species